rnacentral:rRNA from 1 species
UGAAGAGGCGGAGCCGCAGCGAAAGCGAGUCUGAAUAGGGCGUUUAGUACGUGGUCGUAGACCCGAAACCAGGUGAUCUACCCAUGUCCAGGGUGAAGUUCAGGUAACACUGAAUGGAGGCCCGAACCCACGCACGUUGAAAAGUGCGGGGAUGAGGUGUGGGUAGCGGAGAAAUUCCAAUCGAACCUGGAGAUAGCUGGUUCUCCCCGAAAUAGCUUUAGGGCUAGCCUUAAGUGUAAGAGUCUUGGAGGUAGAGCACUGAUUGAACUAGGGGUCCUCAUCGGAUUACCGAAUUCAGUCAAACUCCGAAUGCCAAUGACUUAUCCUUAGGAGUCAGACUGCGAGUGAUAAGAUCCGUAGUCAAGAGGGAAACAGCCCAGAUCGCCAGCUAAGGUCCCAAAGUGUGUAUUAAGUGGAAAAGGAUGUGGAGUUGCUUAGACAACUAGGAUGUUGGCUCAGAAGCAGCCACCAUUUAAAGAGUGCGUAAUAGCUCACUAGUCGAGUGACUCUGCGCCGAAAAUGUACCGGGGCUAAAUACACCACCGAAGCUGCGAAUUGAUACCAAUGGUAUCAGUGGUAGGGGAGCGUUCUAAGUGCAGUGAAGUCAGACCGGAAGGACUGGUGGAGCGCUUAGAAGUGAGAAUGCCGGUAUGAGUAGCGAAAGACGGGUGAGAAUCCCGUCCACCGAAUGCCUAAGGUUUCCUGAGGAAGGCUCGUCCGCUCAGGGUUAGUCAGGACCUAAGCCGAGGCCGACAGGCGUAGGCGAUGGACAACAGGUUGAUAUUCCUGUACCACCUCUUUAUCGUUUGAGCAAUGGAGGGACGCAGAAGGAUAGAAGAAGCGUGCGAUUGGUUGUGCACGUCCAAGCAGUUAGGCUGAUAAGUAGGCAAAUCCGCUUAUCGUGAAGGCUGAGCUGUGAUGGGGAAGCUCCUUAUGGAGCGAAGUCUUUGAUUCCCCGCUGCCAAGAAAAGCUUCUAGCGAGAUAAAAGGUGCCUGUACCGCAAACCGACACAGGUAGGCGAGGAGAGAAUCCUAAGGUGUGCGAGAGAACUCUGGUUAAGGAACUCGGCAAAAUGACCCCGUAACUUCGGGAGAAGGGGUGCUUUCUUAACGGAAAGCCGCAGUGAAUAGGCCCAAGCGACUGUUUAGCAAAAACACAGGUCUCUGCGAAGCCGUAAGGCGAAGUAUAGGGGCUGACACCUGCCCGGUGCUGGAAGGUUAAGGAGAGGGGUUAGCGUAAGCGAAGCUCUGAACUGAAGCCCCAGUAAACGGCGGCCGUAACUAUAACGGUCCUAAGGUAGCGAAAUUCCUUGUCGGGUAAGUUCCGACCCGCACGAAAGGUGUAACGAUUUGGGCACUGUCUCAACCAGAGACUCGGUGAAAUUAUAGUACCUGUGAAGAUGCAGGUUACCCGCGACAGGACGGAAAGACCCCGUGGAGCUUUACUGUAGCCUGAUAUUGAAUUUUGGUACAGUUUGUACAGGAUAGGCGGGAGCCAUUGAAACCGGAGCGCUAGCUUCGGUGGAGGCGCUGGUGGGAUACCGCCCUGACUGUAUUGAAAUUCUAACCUACGGGUCUUAUCGACCCGGGAGACAGUGUCAGGUGGGCAGUUUGACUGGGGCGGUCGCCUCCUAAAGUGUAACGGAGGCGCCCAAAGGUUCCCUCAGAAUGGUUGGAAAUCAUUCGUAGAGUGCAAAGGCAUAAGGGAGCUUGACUGCGAGACCUACAAGUCGAGCAGGGACGAAAGUCGGGCUUAGUGAUCCGGUGGUUCCGCAUGGAAGGGCCAUCGCUCAACGGAUAAAAGCUACCCCGGGGAUAACAGGCUUAUCUCCCCCAAGAGUCCACAUCGACGGGGAGGUUUGGCACCUCGAUGUCGGCUCAUCGCAUCCUGGGGCUGUAGUCGGUCCCAAGGGUUGGGCUGUUCGCCCAUUAAAGCGGUACGCGAGCUGGGUUCAGAACGUCGUGAGACAGUUCGGUCCCUAUCCGUCGUGGGCGCAGGAAAUUUGAGAGGAGCUGUCCUUAGUACGAGAGGACCGGGAUGGACGCACCGCUGGUGUACCAGUUGUUCUGCCAAGGGCAUAGCUGGGUAGCUAUGUGCGGAAGGGAUAAGUGCUGAAAGCAUCUAAGCAUGAAGCCCCCCUCAAGAUGAGAUUUCCCAUAGCGUAAGCUAGUAAGAUCCCUGAAAGAUGAUCAGGUUGAUAGGUUCGAGGUGGAAGCAUGGUGACAUGUGGAGCUGACGAAUACUAAUAGAUCGAGGACUUAACCAU